rnacentral:rRNA from 1 species
GCGUAGGGUAUGUAGGUGGUAAUAUUAAAAAAAAUAAAAGACUGGGUAAUCAUCCUUUAAGUUUUUCGUGAAUAUUACUUGAAUUUAGGUAGGCCGAUGGUAUCAUUUGGGAACGGUUAAAUGUGUAGAUAAAAUGAGGACCGACAGUAGUUAAUGCAAUUUGCCAUCAAGUAUUGACACUAAGAUACGAAAGCGUGGGGAUAAAGAAGAUUAGAGACCUUCGUAGUCCACGCUGUAACGCUGAAUAUUCAAUGUGGAGGUAUAACGUUUUUAUUAUUAAUUACGGAAAUUCCGGUGUUCUAGCUAACGCGUUAAAUGUUCCGCCUGGGAAGUACGGUCGCAAGGUGAAACUCAAAAGAAUUGACGGUGAUUGGACAGGG